AUGGCCAGAACGGCUGGGGAUGGCCCAGGCCCGAGCCAGGAGCCAGGAGCUUCUUCCAGGACUCCCCCACUGGUGCAGGGAACAAGCUCUUGGCCCAUCCUCUGCUGCUCUCCCAGGUGCGUUAGCAGGGAGCUGGAUCGGAAGUGGAGCAGCUGGGACUCCAACCAGAGCCCACAUGGGAUGCAGGCGGCAGUGAAACCCACGGGACACAGCCAGCCCCUUGUAUUUUACUUGCUCUUUCUUUGGCUUUUUCUUUUUGGAUCCCUGUUCACACUGGCUGGGACCUGCAGCACGGCAUGGAGCAGUGGUGACAGUGGACCCUCUUUGGCAGGCACCGUUUCUCAGCCAACCAAGGGGAAAGGCCCUAAUCAGGCGAUCGAGGUUUCUCAGCCUCAGCAGACUGGCGUUCCAGGCCGUCGCGUGCGUCAGCAGCAGUCUGGGAGGACAAGGAUGCACAUAUGGGGGCCACGGGGAGGUGCCAAAGCCUCUGGGGACAAGGUGCAGGCUAUGCCAAGUGAGAAGGGCCUGCUGCAGGGCCAAGGGGGUCCAGGCGCAAAGGAUUUUGAGCUUCUAACCUCGCAGAGAGGCAGCCCGUGGCCCAAACAGCAGCACCUAACCCACGGGGGCAGGGGCUUCAAGCACUGUGCAGACGGCAGGCCGUGACCUGACCAAUGACGCUUGGUGGCUACGGUGACAGGCUCACGGUUUGGGCCGUGGGCAGUGGCCCCGUCUCUGGGGAUGGUCUAGCCCCUUCUUCCAAACUCUUCUUUGCCAAACUCGUGCCGGAACUCUGGGUUCUCCCGUUACUUUAUUACAUCAACACUUGCUACAACUCAGAAGACCUUCAGCGUAAUGACAUCAAAUAAAGCCAUGUCCACUUUACCUUUCUAUGUGAGG
rnacentral:lncRNA from 1 species